UACGUAGGGUGCAAGCGUUAAUCGGAAUUACUGGGCGUAAAGCGCGCGUAGGUGGUUCGUUAAGUUGGAUGUGAAAGCCCCGGGCUCAACCUGGGAACUGCAUCCAAAACUGGCGAGCUAGAGUAUGGUAGAGGGUGGUGGAAUUUCCUGUGUAGCGGUGAAAUGCGUAGAUAUAGGAAGGAACACCAGUGGCGAAGGCGACCACCUGGACUGAUACUGACACUGAGGUGCGAAAGCGUGGGGAGCAAACAGG
rnacentral:rRNA from 1 species